rnacentral:rRNA from 1 species
AUUGAACGCUGACGGCAGGCCUAACACAUGCAAGUCGGACGGUAGCACAGAGAGCUUGCUCUUGGGUGACGAGUGGCGGACGGGUGAGUAAUGUCUGGGGAUCUGCCCGAUAGAGGGGGAUAACCACUGGAAACGGUGGCUAAUACCGCAUAACGUCGCAAGACCAAAGAGGGGGACCUUCGGGCCUCUCACUAUCGGAUGAACCCAGAUGGGAUUAGCUAGUAGGCGGGGUAAUGGCCCACCUAGGCGACGAUCCCUAGCUGGUCUGAGAGGAUGACCAGCCACACUGGAACUGAGACACGGUCCAGACUCCUACGGGAGGCAGCAGUGGGGAAUAUUGCACAAUGGGCGCAAGCCUGAUGCAGCCAUGCCGCGUGUAUGAAGAAGGCCUUCGGGUUGUAAAGUACUUUCAGCGGGGAGGAAGGCGGUGCGGUUAAUAACCGUACCGAUUGACGUUACCCGCAGAAGAAGCACCGGCUAACUCCGUGCCAGCAGCCGCAGUAA